GAACAAACACUGCCAUUACCCGACAGAACUCUGGUCCUCUGGGCCCCGACUGAGGCUGGCUUCUCUGGGGUGCCACAUCCCUCUGUCCCUCUUGCCUGAGGGCAGGCUUGGUGUGUUGUCACAUUUGAAAAGAGAAACUUAACUACAAAAGCGUAUGUAUAGACUACAGAUUUUCUGAAGGUGUAGAGGGAGUUACCUCCGCUCACACAGUAAAACAACUCCAUCUCCCAUUGGUCAUCAUGCCAGACACACACUCGGGCCCCUUUCCUUCUGGAAGCUUCCUUGCCUGUCUCUUCCCUCAACAGUCAUCCAAUGCCUCUUAGCAAACCCCGUACACAUUUUUCAAGGCACCCCACCCAGCCCAAGGAGAUUCUUUUUACGAGUCCCUUUACUAUAUGAGUGGAGUAGGAGUGGGCUUUAUUCUUCAAGUCAGCCAACAAGUAUUUCUCAGGUUCCUUCCAUGGGCCAGGUCCUCUGCUGUGAUUAGGGAAGCAAGGAGAACAAAUGAGCUUCGGAACAGCACGAGUGUUUCGGACUUGGAUAAUGUGCUGUGAAGGAAAUAAACAGCAUGGUGUGACAGAGAAGCGAAAAGUGAGGGAUGUGAUUUAGGUUCGGUGGAAGGGAAGGGGUCUCUGAGGAGUGUUGUCCAGGCCAAGUCUGAAGAGAUGAGGUGUGACAGACAAGGGAUGGCCCGUGCAAGCGUCCCGUGGUGCGGAAGGCGGUGAGCUCAGCGAAGCAGAAAGAGGCCCCAGUGCUGGAGAGCAGGUGAGGGGGGAGGGCAGCCUCGCCAACAGGCUGAGGGCACACACGUGGAGCUGUGUCAGAGUGACAAGGGCCCCUGGAAGGUUCAGGGAAGGGCGGCACGACCCCAUUAAGUAGGAAAAAUAAUCCAAACAAAAGCUGCAUUUUCCUUUCAUGUCUCACCACACAUCCCUGCAGCCUUCUGCUCCGCUCAGAAGUACAAAGCCUGCCUCCGCCUCCUCUAGGAAACCGUCACUUUCUCGGCUGUCAGCAGGGUCUCCAGGGUAUUCCCUACAGAAGCAGCUCCUGCACUAACACACAGUGAGCGCGGGAGCGUUGUGAAGUGACACCUCCUGCUGGAAACUGUGCCGAACCCUGAGGAGACAUCGGUGCCAGCAGCAAUGUGCCUGCUGUGGACUGAAUGUUUGCAUCCGUCCAAAUUCAUUUCUUGGAAUCCAACUCCCAGUGUAAUGGCGUUGGAGGGAGGACCUUUGUGAGCUCGGAAGAGGACCCGCUCAAGAACCUGACUGCGGCUGCAUGUCCAUCUCAGAUUUCCAGAAUGAUGCGAAAUAGAUGCCUGCUCUCCAGGCCGCCCCAUCUACAGUACUCGUCAUUCCAUGGCAGCCCCAGUGGACUAAGGCGGCACCUCUCCACACUCAGGGACUCAUAGUUUGGCCUGCAGGUCACACAGCCGCCCGCGCCGUGAGACUUCCGUGUCCCCCUGGCCUCCACUCCAGCUUCAUUCCCACCAUUGCUCCCUACUUCCUCCUACACCACAGGUCGCUUCCAACUCUCCCCCAGCUCAAGGCCUUGUUCACCCUGUUCUCCCUGGCCCACCCUCACCGAGCUGGCUCCCUAGGUCUCCCCUCAAAUGCCGCCUGUAUGAAAGUACAUGUGUCCCCUGUCUUGAAUCCUUUAUCACUUCAUUUCUAUACCCUCAUUUAUAAAGAUGUUAUCCAUUUAUUGUUAUUUAUUAUUAUUUUCUUGCUGUGUAGC